ACGGCUCAACCGUGGAGGAGCGUGGGAUACGCUCAGGCUAGACGGUGGGAGAGGGUGGUGGAAUUCCCGGAGUAGCGGUGAAAUGCGCAGAUACCGGGAGGAACGCCGAUGGCGAAGGCAGCCGCCUGGUCCACCCGUGACGCUGAGGCGCGAAAGCGUGGGGAGCAAACCGGAUUAGAUACCCGGGUAGUCCACGCCCUAAACGAUGCGCGCUAGGUCUCUGGGUUGCCUGGGGGCCGAAGCUAACGCGUUAAGCGCGCCGCCUGGGGAGUACGGCCGCAAGGCUGAAACUCAAAGGAAUUGACGGGGGCCCGCACAAGCGGUGGAGCAUGUGGUUUAAUUCGAAGCAACGCGAAGAACCUUACCAGGCCUUGACAUGCUAGGGAACCUGGGUGAAAGCCUGGGGUGCCCCGCGAGGGGAGCCCUAGCACAGGUGCUGCAUGGCCGUCGUCAGCUCGUGUCGUGAGAUGUUGGGUUAAGUCCCGCAACGAGCGUAACCCCUGCCGUUAGUUGCCAGCGGGUGAAGCCGGGCACUCUAACGGGACUGCCUGCGAAAGCAGGAGGAAGGCGGGGACGACGUCUGGUCAUCAUGGCCCUUACGGCCUGGGCGACACACGUGCUACAAUGCCCACUACAAAGCGAGGCGACCUGGCGACAGGGAGCGAAUCGCAAAAAGGUGGGCGUAGUUCGGAUUGGGGUCUGCAACCCGACCCCAUGAAGCCGGAAUCGCUAGUAAUCGCGGAUCAGCCAUGCCGCGGUGAAUACGUUCCCGGGCCUUGUACACACCGCCCGUCACGCCAUGGGAGCGGGUUCUACCCGAAGUCGCCGGGAGCCUUAGGGCAGGCGCCGAGGGUAGGGCCCGU
rnacentral:rRNA from 1 species